rnacentral:rRNA from 1 species
CCUACGGGUGGCAGCAGUGAGGAAUAUUGGUCAAUGGGCGCGAGCCUGAACCAGCCAAGUAGCGUGAAGGAUGACUGCCCUACGGGUUGUAAACUUCUUUUAUCAAGGAAUAAAGUGAGGCACGUGUGCCUUUUUGUAUGUACUUUAUGAAUAAGGAUCGGCUAAAUCCGUGCCAGCAGCCGCGGUAAUACGGGGGGUCCGAGCGUUUACCCGAUUUAUUGGGGUUAAAGGGAGCGUAAGGGGGAUGUUAAGUCAGUGGUGAAAGUUUGCGGCUCAAACGUAAAAUUGCAGUUGAUACUGGCAGUCUUGAGUACAGGUGAGGUAGGCGGAAUGCGUGGUGUAGCGGUGAAAUGCUUAGAUAUCACGCAGAACUCCGAUUGCGAAGGCAGCUUACUAAACUGCCACUGACAUUGAGGCUCGAAAGUGUGGGUAUCAAACAGGAUUAGAUACCCGUGUAGUC